rnacentral:rRNA from 1 species
GACGAACCGUGCGAACGUUGUUCGGAUUCACUGGGCUUAAAGGGCGCGUAGGCGGACCCGCCAGUCUGUGGUGAAAGCCCCCAGCUCAACUGGGGAAGUGCCAUGGAUACUGCAGGUCUUGAGGAGGGUAGGGGCGUCUGGAACGCUGGGUGGAGCGGUGAAAUGCGUUGAUAUCCAGCGGAACUCCGGUGGCGAAGGCGAGGCGCUGGACCCUUUCUGACGCUGAUGCGCGAAAGCCAGGGGAGCAAACGGGG